UCUAAACUUGAAUAUCGAACUCGUAUAAUUCAUGGGAAUAUGGCCCGUAAGUCUCUACCAAGCGACCGUAAAUUGCUUGACUACGAGUGAAAGUGCGUCUAGG
rnacentral:ncRNA from 1 species